CCCACCCCACUGCAGCUUGAUAGAUCAUGGCCCAUGGUGAAGCCUGCAGUACACUCCUCUGGUGAUUUAUGUUCCUCUCCUGUGAACUGCAACAUGCUUGGAGGCAAGGAUGAUCUACUGUGUAUUGCAGCUGUGGCUUUUCGAGCCCAGUCACACAAAAAAGACAUGUCUCAUCGUCCAUGAUUACAGAGGGUCUGAAAUUCUUGAAAAUUCAAAAGCAGACAAGAAAAUGUGGCAAAGAGGUCCAUGGUCUCAAGUCAAUCCUCUUCCAGAAGUUCCUUAGAAAUAGCCCACAGAAAUGUUAGCUUGUCUAAGCAGGAGGACUCACAAAGCAAUUGCAUAAAAAUAAAAUUAAAAGCCAAUAAAAAGUUGAGUGGCUGUCAA